rnacentral:rRNA from 1 species
UACGGAGUGUGCAAGCGUUACUCGGAAUCACUGGGCGUAAAGCGCGCGUAGGCGGGCUUUCAAGUCGGUUGUGAAAUCCCUCAGCUCAACUGAGGAACUGCGUCCGAUACUGGAAGGCUUGAAUCCGGGAGAGGGAUGCGGAAUUCCAGGUGUAGCGGUGAAAUGCGUAGAUAUCUGGAGGAACACCGGUGGCGAAGGCGGCAGCCUGGACCGGCAUUGACGCUGAGGCGCGAAAGCCAGGGGAGCAAACGGG